UACACAUGCAAGUCGAACGAUGAACCAGGAGCUUGCUCUUGGGGAUUAGUGGCGAACGGGUGAGUAACACGUGAGCAAUGUGCCCUUGACUCUGGAAUAAGCGCUGGAAACGGCGUCUAAUACCGGAUACGACCUUCGGAGGCAUCUCCUGGAGGUGGAAAGAACUUCGGUCAAGGAUCAGCUCACGGCCUAUCAGCUUGUUGGUGAGGUAACGGCUCACCAAGGCGACGACGGGUAGCCGGCCUGAGAGGGUGACCGGCCACACUGGGACUGAGACACGGCCCAGACUCCUACGGGAGGCAGCAGUGGGGAAUAUUGCACAAUGGGCGCAAGCCUGAUGCAGCAACGCCGCGUGAGGGACGACGGCCUUCGGGUUGUAAACCUCUUUUAGCAGGGAAGAAGCGAAAGUGACGGUACCUGCAGAAAAAGCACCGGCUAACUACGUGCCAGCAGCCGCGGUAAUACGUAGGGUGCAAGCGUUGUCCGGAAUUAUUGGGCGUAAAGAGCUCGUAGGCGGUUUGUCACGUCUGCUGUGAAAUUCCGAGGCUCAACCUCGGGCUUGCAGUGGGUACGGGCAGACUAGAGUGCGGUAGGGGAGAUUGGAAUUCCUGGUGUAGCGGUGGAAUGCGCAGAUAUCAGGAGGAACACCGAUGGCGAAGGCAGAUCUCUGGGCCGUAACUGACGCUGAGGAGCGAAAGCAUGGGGAGCAAACAGGCUU
rnacentral:rRNA from 1 species